rnacentral:rRNA from 1 species
GGCGGCGUGCUAUACAUGCAGUCGAGCGAAUCGGAGGGAGCUUGCUCCCAAAGAUUAGCGGCGGACGGGUGAGUAACACGUGGGCAACCUGCCUGUAAGACUGGGAUAACUUCGGGAAACCGGAGCUAAUACCGGAUAAUCCUUUUCCUCACAUGAGGGAAAGCUGAAAGACGGUUUCGGCUGUCACUUACAGAUGGGCCCGCGGCGCAUUAGCUAGUUGGUGAGGUAACGGCUCACCAAGGCGACGAUGCGUAGCCGACCUGAGAGGGUGAUCGGCCACACUGGGACUGAGACACGGCCCAGACUCCUACGGGAGGCAGCAGUAGGGAAUCUUCCGCAAUGGACGAAAGUCUGACGGAGCAACGCCGCGUGAGCGAAGAAGGCCUUCGGGUCGUAAAGCUCUGUUGUCAGGGAAGAACAAGUGCCGGAGUAACUGCCGGCACCUUGACGGUACCUGACCAGAAAGCCACGGCUAACUACGUGCCAGCAGCCGCGGUAAUACGUAGGUGGCAAGCGUUGUCCGGAAUUAUUGGGCGUAAAGCGCGCGCAGGCGGUCCUUUAAGUCUGAUGUGAAAGCCCACGGCUCACCCGUGCAGGGUCAUUGGAAACUGGGGGACUUGAGUGCAGAGAGGAGAGU